rnacentral:piRNA from 1 species
UCUUGGCUCCUCGGAGCUAAACUGCUUCCCUU